rnacentral:lncRNA from 1 species
UGCAGAGUGGCGUCAGUGCAAUGGCUCCACCGUCACUGUCAACAUGGUGUCGCACAACAUUAAGUUUAGUUCAUGGUCGUGGGUUGCUUUGUAACAAUUAAGUUGUUGAAUUACUUUGUAACAAUUACGUACAACUUAUAUUAGUCCCUGCCUAUUUGGUGCAUCGUCAUUCUGUUAUUUGACCAUGAGAGUUUAGUUCAUGGUGGUGGG